GGAGAGGGACCGGCAGGCGGCGGAGAGGGAGAGGGAGAAUGAGGAGAGGACGGCUAGGCUGUUGGAGGAGGAGAGGAACCAGAACGACUCGGCUAACCGGGCCAUGUACGAUCUCUUCGUGUCCAUGUGCGAGAAGAACGGCCAGACCCCUCCGCCAAUGCCAGUCCUUGCUCCGGCGGGCACG